rnacentral:rRNA from 1 species
CCUACGGGCGGCAGCAGUGGGGAAUAUUGCACAAUGGGGGAAACCCUGAUGCAGCGACGCCGCGUGAGUGAAGAAGUAUUUCGGUAUGUAAAGCUCUAUCAGCAGGGAAGAAAAAAGACGGUACCUGAUUAAGAAGCCCCGGCUAACUACGUGCCAGCAGCCGCGGUAAGACGUAGGGGGCAAGCGUUAUCCGGAUUUACUGGGUGUAAAGGGAGGGUAGACGGAGAAGCAAGUCUGAAGUGAAAGCCCGUGGCUUAACCACGGGACUGCUUUGGAAACUGUUUGACUAGAGUGCUGGAGAGGUAAGUGGAAUUCCUAGUGUAGCGGUGAAAUGCGUAGAGAUUAGGAAGAACACCAGGGGCGAAGGCGGCUUACUGGACAGUAACUGACGUUGAGGCUCGAAAGCGUGGGGAGCAAACAGGAUUAGAUACCCCAGUAGUC